rnacentral:rRNA from 1 species
AGAGCGAACGCUGGCGGCAGGCUUAACACAUGCAAGUCGAGCGCCCGUAGCAAUACGGGAGCGGCAGACGGGUGAGUAACACGUGGGAACAUGCCCUUCGGUUCGGAAUAACUCAGGGAAACUUGAGCUAAUACCGAAUACGCCCUUACGGGGAAAGAUUUAUUGCCGAAGGAUUGGCCCGCGUCCGAUUAGCUAGUUGGUGAGGUAAUGGCUCACCAAGGCGACGAUCGGUAGCUGGUCUGAGAGGAUGAUCAGCCACAUUGGGACUGAGACACGGCCCAAACUCCUACGGGAGGCAGCAGUGGGGAAUAUUGGACAAUGGGCGCAAGCCUGAUCCAGCCAUGCCGCGUGGGUGACUUGAAGGCCUUAGGGUCGUAAAGCCCUUUCGGACGGGGAAGAUAAGUGACGGUACCCGUAGAACGAAGCCCCGGCUAACUUCGUGCCAGCAGCCGC